rnacentral:tRNA from 1 species
UCCUUGGUGGUCCAAUGGCUAAGACUCUUCAGUCCAAAUGAAGGGAGUCUGGGUUCGAACCCUGGUCAGGGAA